UACAGAGGGGGCAAGCGUUGUUCGGAAUUACUGGGCGUAAAGGGCGCGUAGGCGGCCGACUAAGUCAGACGUGAAAUCCCCUGGCUCAACCAGGGAACUGCGUCUGAUACUGGAUGGCUUGAGUUCGGGAGAGGGAAGUGGAAUUCCAGGUGUAGCGGUGAAAUGCGUAGAGAUGUGGAGGAACACCAGUGGCGAAGGCGGCGUCCUGGACCAACACUGACACUGAUGAGCGAAAGCCAGGGGAGCAAACGGG
rnacentral:rRNA from 1 species